rnacentral:rRNA from 1 species
UACGUAGGGUGCAAGCGUUGUCCGGAUUUAUUGGGCGUAAAGAGCUCGUAGGCGGUCUGUCGCGUCGGAUGUGAAAACCCAGGGCUCAACCCUGGGCCUGCAUUCGAUACGGGCAGACUAGAGUAUGGCAGGGGAGACUGGAAUUCCUGGUGUAGCGGUGAAAUGCGCAGAUAUCAGGAGGAACACCGGUGGCGAAGGCGGGUCUCUGGGCAGUAACUGACGCUGAGGAGCGAAAGCGUGGGGAGCGAACAGG